AUUUUGCUGGAUCUGGUGAUUUCUGGAAACAAGCUCAAACUGUCCAUCGUAUUGACAAAUUCAUUUAUUUUUAACGGUACAACUACUGAUACUUGGUCUUAAAUAUUUCUAUGACUUAUUUGAAAUACUUGUGUUUUUCUAAUAGCGUUUCAGGCUGUGAUGACAUAUUACCUAGCAUAAUAUUCUCUGCAGUAUUUAUCGUUGUUGGUUUUUUUUUGUCACACUGGCGUUCCAGAUCAAACAUACAAAUAUAAACCAAUCUCAUGAGAUAUUUUAUCUCCAUAUUGAUGGAAAAUGCUAGGCUGGCUACCACCAGCCUGAAUCUCAAGUGAGAUACAGGCUGGGUACCUGCUAUUCAUUUUCUUGUAGGGGUGGAGCAGUUUAAAAUUUUCCACAGCCGUUGAUUGGGCGCUGCAUAUGUCAGUCAGUCUGGGGCAGUUGAAGCUCACAGCCAAUCGUGUCACUGCUAGCCGCUGACGUAAAUGCAGAGCGACGGCAGCACCACGAAAAAGAAUCAUUGCUGUGUUUGCUCAUGUGUUUGCUUCUUUCGCCAUGUCGCCGGACGAUUCUUGCCGUUUAUGUAAAGUAAACAUGAGGGAAAGUGGACCCCGUGUUUAUGCACACUCCACAGAUAUGUUUGUGUCAAAAACAACGCCGACCAUAUCAGAUAGGUUAGCGAUGAUGGACCUGAUAGUCACCCCGGAGCCGGAGCAGUCAAACAGAUGCUGCCAGCGCUGCACCUCCACACUCGGUCGGCUUGAAAAAGACUUUCCUUUAUUCAGGCAAUGGGAAGAGAACGUCCGGUUAAGCAGCGUAUCGAAAAGACAACGUGAACCCACCCCGUCCAAGACACCGAGGACUUUGAAAAAGACCUGCCCAAACCCACCGAGUCCACUAGCUUGUUCCUUCGGAAACACGACAACAAAGACAUCAUGAUUCCGCGGAUCCAGGAGGUGUAUUUGCAGACCUUGGUGUAGACUUCAGGCAUAUUCUCCGAGUAAAAGCCCCAGGACAGCAAACCCUGCAGCUGACCAUUGCACACUAGGGGGGCACCGAAUUCACCCUGACAGAGGAAAGACAAGGAGUCCUCGUAUUCCUCGAGGGAUUCAGCGCAGAACAUGUUGGAGGUGAACUGGUAAGGCCAGGAGGAGUCGCAGUUUGUGUCGCUCAGGAUGGGGACAUCCAGGCACCUCA